rnacentral:rRNA from 1 species
UACGUAGGGUGCGAGCGUUAAUCGGAAUUACUGGGCGUAAAGCGUGCGCAGGCUGUUUUGUAAGUCAGAUGUGAAAUCCCCGAGCUCAACUUGGGAACUGCGUUUGAAACUACAAGACUAGAAUAUGUCAGAGGGGGGUAGAAUUCCACGUGUAGCAGUGAAAUGCGUAGAGAUGUGGAGGAAUACCAAUGGCGAAGGCAGCCCCCUGGGAUCAA